rnacentral:rRNA from 1 species
ACAAGCCUGAGAAACGGCUAGUAGGACUAAGGUCUGCAGCAGGCGCGAAACUUACACAAUGCUAGAUUACAAUUAGCGAUGUAGUGAAGAAAAAUAACGAUGUACUUCCUUCUAAACAAGGUAGUACAAUUGGAAUGAGACGACUAUAAACCAGUUAGUCGAGUAACAAAUGGAGGGCAAGUCUGGUGCCAGCAGCCGCGGUAAUUCCAGCUCCAUUAGCAUACAUUAAAGUUGUUGCGGUUAAAAAGCUCGUAGUUGAAUUUUAGGCGGGCUCUAUUGGGAUGCAAUCGUUAAGACCUACUUGGUUUCGAUCAAGUUAGGUUGGUUGUCAUCGCCCUAUAGGAACCCGCUGUUUCGUCACUUAAUCGAGUGCGAAGCGGGCUGGUACAAGGAUUCAAUAUUCGCUAUUGUCCUGUUUCAGCAUGUUUACCUUGAGAAAAUUAGAGUGCUCACAGCAGGCAGUUGGGGUGUAAAAGCUCCUUUAUGCUUGAAUAAUGUUGCAUGGAAUAAUAGAAUACGGCCUCGGUUCUAUUCUGUUGGUCUUAUAGAACAACAAACAAGUUGGUUAAAGCGAUCAAAAGUCCAUUUGCGGAUGUGGUUCAUUGGUAGCUUUUUAGUUGCUGACUUUAACUUUAGUCUAGUUGUGUUACCUAGGGCCUUAAAAUCUUAGUGUCUCGCUAGCUUUAUGUUAGUCUUCUUAACUAUCUAGUUUUGCCUUUGUUCCAUUUAAAGCAUCCCUUAUUGGGCUAGCUUUCUAAUCAACUGAGGCAAUGGUUAAAAGAAAUAGUCGCGGCGGCAUCAGUACUGCAUCGUGAGAG